rnacentral:tRNA from 1 species
GUCCCGUGGUGUAUAGCACAUAAAAUUGCAAAUUUUAAAGAGCAAAUAAUUCCUGCCGGGGCUU